rnacentral:misc_RNA from 1 species
UCGUCGGCAGCGUCAGAUGUGUAUAAGAGACAGGUGAAUCAUCGAAUCUUUGAACGCAUAUGGCACCUGCCAGCCCUGCUGGAAGGUAUGCCUGUCUGAGAAUCACACUAUCAUUCUGAUCCGAUUGCACCCGUGCACUCGGUCGACAUGGGCCUUCAGCACUGAUCGCCCCGAAUUGCUCGCGAUCGUCGUGGUAGUGGUGGCAGCGAUGCCGUCAGUGUGUCGACGAUCAACCCGUGCUCGUGAUCUCAGAUCAGGCAAGGCUACCCGCUGAACUUAAGCAUAUCAAUAAGCGGAGGA